CUCACUUCCGCCCGGCGCGGGCUUGGAUGGAGGCGGCGCGGAGGCCGCGGCUGGGGUUGAGCCGCCGGAGGCCGCGCCCGGCGGGCGGGCUGACCCAGCUGGAUGUUGACAGCCACCUGGCCCAGUGCUUGGCCGAAAGCACAGAAGACGUGACGUGGUGAGCGCCAUCCAAGAGCCCUGCGCAGAGUGCGGCGCCCGGACACGCUCUCCCCCGCCAGCAGCCCCGCCUCUCGGCUCCCCCGCCAGCAGCCCCGCCUCUCGGCUCCCCCGCAUGCGCAUUAAAGCAGGGCGGGCUCCUGUCUGUCUCUGUGUUGUGAUGA
rnacentral:lncRNA from 1 species